rnacentral:rRNA from 1 species
ACUCCUGCGGGAGGCAGCAGUGGGGAAUUUUGGACAAUGGGCGAAAGCCUGAUCCAGCCAUGCCGCGUGCAGGAUGAAGGCCUUCGGGUUGUAAACUGCUUUUGUACGGAACGAAACGGCCUUUUCUAAUAAAGAGGGCUAAUGACGGUACCGUAAGAAUAAGCACCGGCUAACUACGUGCCAGCAGCCGCGGUAAUACGUAGGGUGCAAGCGUUAAUCGGAAUUACUGGGCGUAAAGCGUGCGCAGGCGGUUAUGUAAGACAGUUGUGAAAUCCCCGGGCUCAACCUGGGAACUGCAUCUGUGACUGCAUAGCUAGAGUACGGUAGAGGGGGAUGGAAUUCCGCGUGUAGCAGUGAAAUGCGUAGAUAUGCGGAGGAACACCGAUGGCGAAGGCAAUCCCCUGGACCUGUACUGACGCUCAUGCACGAAAGCGUGGGGAGCAAACAGGAUUAGAAACCCUUGUAGUCCCAUGA